GACGAACGCUGGCGGCAUGCCUAACACAUGCAAGUCGAACGAGACCUUCGGGUCUAGUGGCGCACGGGUGCGUAACGCGUGGGAACCUGCCCUUAGGUUCGGAAUAACUCCCCGAAGGGGGUGCUCAUACCGGAUAAUGUCUUCGGACCAAAGAUUUAUGGCCUUUGGAUGGGCCCGCGUUGGAUUAGCUAGUUGGUAGGGUAAAAGCCUACCAAGGCGACGAUCCAUAGCUGGUCUGAGAGGAUGAUCAGCUACACUGGGACUGAGACACGGCCCAGACUCCUACGGGAGGGAGCAGUGGGGAAUAUUGGACAAUGGGCGAAAGCCUGAUCAAGCAAUGCCGCGGGAGUGAUGAAGGCCUUAGGGUUGUAAAGCUCUUUUACCCGGGAUGAUAAUGACAGUACCGGGAGAAUAAGCUCCGGCUAACUCCGUG
rnacentral:rRNA from 1 species